rnacentral:misc_RNA from 1 species
GUAUAUGAUGUCCGGCCACAUGGUCUAAGCAUGAUAUCCGGCCCUUUAUUCGCCAUGUACAGCUGAAAAUGCUUCGUUGUCUUCCCUGUAGAUGAAUGGCAAUUGCAAAUACAGUACUUAUUUCCAAUUUAUAAUCACAUAACAGGCGCCAAAGCAUUGACCAAAAUUAAUAAUCACAUAAUGUAAUGGAUCAGAAUUCAGAAACUU